rnacentral:misc_RNA from 1 species
GAUGAAGAACGCAGCGAAAUGCGAUAAGUAAUGUGAAUUGCAGAAUUCAGUGAAUCAUCGAAUCUUUGAACGCACCUUGCGCCCUUUGGCCAUUCCGAAGGGCAUGCCUGUUUGAGUAUCAUGAACACCUCAACUCUUUAUGGUUUUCCAUGAUGAGCUUGGACUCUGGGGGUUUUGCUGGCUCACAGUCGGCUCCUCUAAAAUAAAUCAGCUUACCAGUGUUUGGUGGGUAUCAUGGGUGUGAUAACUAUCUACGCUUGUGGUUUUUCCACCAGGUAACCUUCAGCAGUGGAGGUUCGCUGGAGCUCACAGAUGUGUCUCUCCUCAGUGAGGACAGCUCUUUGAAUGUUUGAUCUCAAAUCAGGUAGGACUACCCGCUGAACUUAAGCAUAUCAAUAAGCGGAGGA